UACACCCUCAACAGAAACCAUUAACAAAAAACAAUUCUCCUUUCUCCUCUCCAUAGAUCGAUCAUGUCUUUGUGAUGUUGAACAGAAGAAGUACUCCACCAACUCUUUGCAAGAAAAGCUUAUUAUGCUGAUGCUAUUGGUCCUUGCUAUGGAAUUUCCAAAUAUUGUGAUGUUUUUUGGAUAUGUUGCUCAUUUUAGCUUUUUGGAAGAUUAGCAGCAA